rnacentral:tRNA from 1 species
GGGGUUGUAGCUCAGUGGUACAGCACUUGUCUCACAUAUAUGAGGCCCUGGGUUCGAUCCUCAGCACCA